GUCAGAUCUCAUCCCAUCUCGGUAACCCACAAAGAGGCUGUGGAAAUUGAAUUAAGAAAAUGAAAUUUCUCCACAGCUUCGCAAAGGAGAGAAAUAUUGGCAAUCCCACGGAGAGCAUACCAAAAAAUAAUCGCAUGCGAAAUUGCAAGGGAAAAACUUUCCUCGUAAUACAGGCAUUAAUCAAACUGAUCGAUUUGACUGCGUCGACAGCCAGCGAAGGAGGGGGAGAAACGUUCUAUUAUUCGAAGUUAAUUACUCGUGUUCUGCACUCGACGUUAUCACCCGAAGUUUGCGAGCACCCGUACCGCUGGAAGAAGAAAUCGCAGCAGCCAAAAAAGAACACCCUGGCGAACAUGAUCGUCGUAUUUGGUUACCACGGUUGGAAAAUAAUCUCCGAUUAUCGUUCGCAUCCAUCAACGAGGUGUACACUAUAGGUAGGAUAUUCUGAAACGAUCCAGGCGUUAGUGCCGGUCGUUGGGUUUUCAAGAUAUCAAUCGAUUCAAAACGAUCUAUCCGUUGUUCGAAUUUUCGAGCAUUGCACGAAAAGUGUGAGUCGCACGUGUGCGUUUAGGUUUCGGUAGACGGGCGGGGUCCAAACGUGUAGGGGUCGAUGGUCUCCUAGCAACGACUACAGCCUCCCGCUCCCCCACAUGACAUCCCUUCUUUGUAGAAAGGAGAGAAAAUUCAUCUGACAACUACGAACGACGGAGAGAAGGAGACGAUGGAUAAGAAGUUGUUGGACGUAGCGGUACAAACAACGCCGUUUCAUCACUGCAGGAAAACCUUAAGCGAAGAUCGUUUUCUCAUGUUUGUACUUGGUUCCCUAUUGUAAAGUCGCACCUAAUACAACGCUCAAGAAAAAGAAUGCCUCAUGCAUGGUACAACUUUCCACCUCGCCUCGUCUCGUCGCAUCUACUCCAGGCAAUUGUUAUACCUAGAGGAUUAGGAUGAGCGGUAUAGAUUUGGGGUCGAGGGUGAGAGCAAAAGAAAAGUAAAAGUAAAUCUCCGAAAGAGGGAAGGUGUAUUCAGACAUUCUGUCUAUACCUGUUGAACGAUGUGGACACAGUCUCACAGAACUUCGGAGAAAAUGUUGAGUAAAUUAUUGUUGAUAUUAUUUU